CUUCUUUUUCACCGGAGCUUGCUCCACCGGAAAAAGAGGAGUGGCGAACGGGUGAGUAACACGUGGGUAACCUGCCCAUCAGAAGGGGAUAACACUUGGAAACAGGUGCUAAUACCGUAUAACAAUCGAAACCGCAUGGUUUUGAUUUGAAAGGCGCUUUCGGGUGUCGCUGAUGGAUGGACCCGCGGUGCAUUAGCUAGUUGGUGAGGUAACGGCUCACCAAGGCCACGAUGCAUAGCCGACCUGAGAGGGUGAUCGGCCACAUUGGGACUGAGACACGGCCCAAACUCCUACGGGAGGCAGCAGUAGGGAAUCUUCGGCAAUGGACGAAAGUCUAACCGAGCAACGCCGCGUGAGUGAAGAAGGUUUUCGGAUCGUAAAACUCUGUUGUUAGAGAAGAACAAGGAUGAGAGUAACUGUUCAUCCCUUGACGGUAUCUAACCAGAAAGCCACGGCUAACUACGUGCCAGCAGCCGCGGUAAUACGUAGGUGGCAAGCGUUGUCCGGAUUUAUUGGGCGUAAAGCGAGCGCAGGCGGUUUCUUAAGUCUGAUGUGAAAGCCCCCGGCUCAACCGGGGAGGGUCAUUGGAAACUGGGAGACUUGAGUGCAGAAGAGGAGAGUGGAAUUCCAUGUGUAGCGGUGAAAUGCGUAGAUAUAUGGAGGAACCCAGUGGCGAGGCGGCUCUCUGGUCUGUACUGACGCUGAGCUCGAAGCGUGGGAGCAACAGGAUAGAUACCUGGU
rnacentral:rRNA from 1 species